GCAUUUUGUAAGCAAAUAUUGAGGAAAAAACAAAAUUAUAUUCUUUAAAUAUAGUUCUAUUUAGAUUUUUGCCUGCAAAACUAUUCAUCAAAUUCACGUAAUUGAGUUUUUCAAACAGAGUUGUCUUAAUGGGUAGCAAAACCAACUCAUUUAUUUGAUUAAUCAAAACAAAGUUUUUAGUUUGUAAUCAAAGUUCAAACACCUUACAUUAGAAAGUUUUUGAUUUUUGAUUUUGUAAUCAAAGUCUUAGAGUUUAAGGUUUUAUUUUUCUUAAAUCUAAAAUUUUUACUAAACUAAAUUCAUUAACAAGAUAUUUUAUUGAUUUAAAGAGAUUAAAGAAAGAUAGUAAAUAAAAAGCUUAGCAAAUAUAAAUAUAUAAAAAAUGGCUAUAAUUGUUUUAAAAAAAAACAUAAAAGACUUAAAAACAUUUUUAUAAAAAUAUAUUUCUCUACUAUAAUGCCCUAAGCUAUGACUUCACUUGAUUGUGUAAAACGCCGAGCCUGCCUCAACGUCUUAAAACAUAUUGCUUAAGAAAGUAAGUUAGUUAGCAUAUUACUAGACGACCAAUUAAAGAUAUUUUGGGAUAUUUGCGUAGUGUAAUUUCCUUAAUUUCCUUAAGAUAUGCUCAUUUUCAUCAGUAAGUUAUAUCUGUCUGUGUUGAUCUGUAAUCAACUACAAGCUAAUUAAGAAUGGUGGUGUAUCUAGAAGCCAAAAUAUUUAUAAUCAAAGCUAAAAAAAAAUAUUGUUUAGAAUUUCUAAAUUCAAACUUGUUGUAAGUUGAUUCUCAUUUUUUUAAAAGACUACAAGUAUAUAAAACAACAUCUUGUUAGUUCACCCACUACCAUUUUAUUAAGUGGUGUGUGAAAAUAAUGAAUGCAUUACACAAAGAACUUACGUAGGCGUUGCAUCGAUAGAACGAAAAAAAAAAUCGGCUCGUACUAUUCAACCUCGUAGUCGUACGUAGUAUAUAUUGACGAGAGAAAAAUUGUUGGGAGAUAAAUCCUAUAUAUAUAUACUGUGUAUAUAUACUGUGUAUACAUACAUAUCUUAAAGAUUUGUACAAAUACAUAUCUUAUUGUUGGAGAUACUUAUAGAUUUUAUACAUACAGUGGAUUUUUUAAAAACAAAAUCAAGUACAUGUACUUAUUAUAAAGAGAAAACAAAACAACCAAAUUUUUCGUUAAAUCUUCAAUUCAACAAACAGAGUAUAUAGGAGAAUAAACUGGAGCAUCUUCAAAGAAGUUGAAAAGAUAUAUGUAGUAGAGUUUACAACUUAAAAAUAAUAAUAAAAAACUCCUUGUUCUAUCUUUAGUUUCUUGCUUCUCAAGUUACAUGCCAUGUCAAAGUCCCUAGGAUCAAUAUUUUGCUAGGCAAUUCCGCAGCUGAUGGAGAGACAUAUGUAAUUCUCUCUUCACUAAUAUCAACAUUUUUGAUACACACAAAUCCAGCAACAAUGCUACAAAAAAAUAUAAAUAUAUAAUUGCCGCAAAAUUAACGAUCUCUUCAUCCGUAGCUUAAGUAUAAUCAUACAAAAGUUGUAGAUAUUACCUUGAGAUGAUCUGAUC
rnacentral:sRNA from 1 species